CACGGUGGCUCAUGCCUGUAAUCCUAGCACUUUAGAAGGCUAAGGUGGGAAGAUCGCUUGAACCCAGGAGUUUGAGACCAGCCUGGGCAACAUGGUGAAACCCCAUCUCUAUGAAAAAAAAAGAAAAAUUAGCCAGACAUGGUGGUGCAUGCUUGUAGUCUCAGCUACUCUGGAAGCUGAGGUGGGAGGAUCGCUUGAGCCUGGAAGGUCAAGGCUGCAGUGAGCAGAGAUAAUGCCACUGUACUCCAGCCUAGGUGACAGAGUGAGACCCUUAAGAAAAAGAAAAAGUGUAAGAUAUUGAUUAUACCUUCUAGGGAGCACAGUCUGGUGGAGAAGUAGGAGGAGCACAAUUGAGUUGGAAGUACCUGAGAAAUACAAAAGCAAGGCAGAGAAACGCUAAAAGCACACGUGAUUUUCCUCCUCCUACUAGGAGAAAUAAAUUCAAAGUGACAGUUUCCUGGAGCUCCUGGAGCUAGUGCAACUCCCAAGAGGUCAAUUCCAGUAUGACGCUUGAUUUAUCUACUUUUUGCUACAUAUGAAGUCCUGGAAUGACUUGGCUUUGGCCUUAGCUGUGACAGUCUACCUUCCAAUUAAUGUAUACUCACACUAGGUGCCCUGCUGAUAUGCAGAGGUUCAAGGUUAACCUAUCCUACAUGAAGAUUCCAAGAUAACUACCAGCUGUAACCCUUGAAUUGCAGUGCCGUAUUUUUAGUUUAUAAAGUUAUUGGCAGCAUUUUAGCCAAUUUGAUCUGUAUCCUCCCAAGUUCUCAUCUAAUUUAGAGUUGUCUCGGUGAUGCGUCAUCCUCAGAAAUAAGUGGAGCUUAGAAAAAAAGAGAGAUGAAGCUGAGGUGAUGGACACCCACAGGUGAAAUCUACUCAGCAGAAAAGAUAUAAAAUAAAAAGGGUUACAGGAUUGUUGGGUCAGGAAGGCCAACCAAAUGCUCUCUAAGUUGAAGGAUAAGGAAACACACUCUAGGUUGAGCUUUUUGGAACACCUAAGAAAAGUACAUUGUAAAACAGGGCUACUGGAGCCACUGCCUAACCUAUACUCAAGAAGCUAUACACUGGCCGGGCGCGGUGGCUUACACCUGUAAUCCCAACACUUGGGGAGGCUGAGGCGGGUGGAUCAUUGGAGGUCAGGGGUUUGAGACCAGCCUGGCCAACAUGGUGAAGAUUCAUCUCUACUAAAAAUACAAAAAUUAGCUGGGCACGGUGGUAUACGCCUGUAAUCCCAGCUACUCAGGAGGCUGAAGUAGGAGAAUCAUUUGAACCUGGGAGGCGGAGGUUGCAGUAAGCAGGGAUCACACCACUGCACUCCAGCCUGGGCAACAAAGCGAGACUCCGUCUCCAAAAAUAAAAGAAGCUGUGCACUGAUUUGAGAAGCUACUGGCUCCAGAAUGAGACUACCACUAGCAUGGUCAGGAAAAAGCCAGCCAGGAAGCCAC
rnacentral:lncRNA from 10 species